rnacentral:rRNA from 1 species
UACGUAGGGGGCUAGCGUUGUCCGGAUUUACUGGGUGUAAAGGGCGCGUAGGCGGGUUGGUAAGUUAGAGGUGAAAUCCUGCAGCUCAACUGCAGAACUGCCCCUAAUACUGCCAAUCUUGAGUUCAGAAGAGAGAAGCGGAAUUCCAGGUGUAGUGGUGAAAUACGUAGAUAUCUGGAAGAACACCAGUUGCGUAGGCGGCUUCUUGGUCUGAUACUGACGCUGAGGUGCGAAAGCGUGGGGAGCAAACAGGAUUAGAGACCCUGGUAGUCCACGCUGUAAACGAUGAAUACUAGAUGUCGGGUUAAAAGCUCGGUGUCGCAGCUAACGCAUUAAGUAUUCCACCUGGGGAGUACGAUCGCAAGGUUGAA